rnacentral:sRNA from 2 species
UUUCGCCUGUAGUAAAACAGGAUGAGAACCUCCGAAGGAGGUUUGAGCCGAGCGAAGCGAGACAACGUUGCUUUAGCAACGGCCCGCAGGGCAAGCAUCGCAGAUGCGCGUCAUCCUCUCUCGCCGACCA